rnacentral:rRNA from 1 species
AAACAUACUGGGGGACCUGAUCCAGCCAUCCCGCGUGUGCGAUGAAGGCCUUCGGGUUGUAAAGCACUUUUGGCAGGAAAGAAACGUCGCGGGUUAAUACCCCGCGGAACUGACGGUACCUGCAGAAUAAGCACCGGCUAACUACGUGCCAGCAGCCGCGGUAAUACGUAGGGUGCAAGCGUUAAUCGGAAUUACUGGGCGUAAAGCGUGCGCAGGCGGUUCGGAAAGAAAGAUGUGAAAUCCCAGAGCUUAACUUUGGAACUGCAUUUUUAACUACCGAGCUAGAGUGUGUCAGAGGGAGGUGGAAUUCCGCGUGUAGCAGUGAAAUGCGUAGAUAUGCGGAGGAACACCGAUGGCGAAGGCAGCCUCCUGGGAUAACACUGACGCUCAUGCACGAAAGCGUGGGGAGCAAACAGGAUUAGAUACCCUGGUAGUCCACGCCCUAAACGAUGUCAACUAGCUGUUGGGGCCUUCGGGCCUUGGUAGCGCAGCUAACGCGUGAAGUUGACCGCCUGGGGAGUACGGUCGCAAGAUUAAAACUCAAAUGAAUUGACGGGG